rnacentral:rRNA from 1 species
GUGGGGAAUUUUGGACAAUGGGCGCAAGCCUGAUCCAGCAAUGCCGCGUGCAGGAAGAAGGCCUUCGGGUUGUAAACUGCUUUUGUACGGAACGAAACGGUCCGGGUUAAUACCCUGGGCUAAUGACGGUACCGUAAGAAUAAGCACCGGCUAACUACGUGCCAGCAGCCGCGGUAAUACGUAGGGUGCAAGCGUUAAUCGGAAUUACUGGGCGUAAAGCGUGCGCAGGCGGUUUUGUAAGACAGGCGUGAAAUCCCCGGGCUCAACCUGGGAAUUGGGCUGGUGACUGCAAGGCUGGAGUGCGGCAGAGGGGGAUGGAAUUCCGCGUGUAGCAGUGAAAUGCGUAGAUAUGCGGAGGAACACCGAUGGCGAAGGCAAUCCCCUGGGCCUGCACUGACGCUCAUGCACGAAAGCGUGGGGAGCAAACAGGAUUAGAUACCCGUGUAGUCC